GGAAUACGUCAAAUGGGAAUCUACACAUACAUAGACCAGCCAUACAACUAAACAUAAAAUUACAAAUUGAACAACGAAGCAUUGAAGACUAUUAAUGAUACAUGUAAAUACAACAAAGACACUUAGCAUAGGAGUUGAUCUUCACUAAACAAAGGAAAAAUAAGAAGAAGAAACACACUACUUUGCGUCUAAAGAAACUUAAUUAUACCUUCUUUAAGAGCAGCAUAUUUACAAAUUCACUGAAAACAAUGGUGGAUGAAAUUAUUAUAACCUCACCUUCGGCACUUUCAGCUCGUUUUGUUCUAGUCCAGAAGUCUCCUCAAGAAACAUCCUAUCACUUGUCACUGUUGAUCAAGUUAUCCCAGUGUUUCCUUUGCACUAUCCACCCAAUUUCAAGUUCCACCAAAGUGAGUGUUUCAGAAGCAUCUCACUUAUAAUCAGAGAAAUUAUGAUCUAUGCAGCAAAUUCAAAUUGAUAUGUUCCUCCAUCACAGUGAUUCUCAGAUUCUUCAGAUGUUCCUUAACAGGUUCCCAUAAAUAGGCUGUUUCUUCAUCACAUACAAUGUCUUCCAACUUUACUAGUUUUUGCAGAGAAUCGGGCAGCUUAUCAACACCCAGGGAACUUCCCAUGCAAAGAGUCUGUAAAGAACAGAGUUGAUCCAUUUCCAAUGGCAAGUCAUCCAUCUCCACACAAUCAUAUACGUCAAGAAAUUUCAAUUUAAUAAGUUUUACUAUAGACUUCGGCAACUCAGCCAAAUUUGUGCAAGAAUGAAGCCUUAAUACUUCCAAAUUUGUCAACUUCCCAAGCUCUUCCGGAAGGGAAACCAGUUCGUGACAAUAACAGAUGCUGAGCCUUUUAAGAUCAACAAGAUCACAUAUUUCAGCUGGUACUUUUGUUAAAUCGCUGCAGUACUCGAUAUUAAUCUCAACGAGUUUUGGCCACAUAUAAGACAUCUUGGCAGCAGAGUUCUCAAAUGCCUCCCUGAUUUCACACAUGUUCAGGGAGAUUUUGCGCAAAUUUGGUAGCUGCAGAUUGGCUGACAUAAUGGAUGUAACAGAGAUGCGUUCCAGGUUGAUUCUCUUAAGAUUGAGCAGAGAACAAAGCUGAAAAUUAUUCAACUUGGCUGGGAAGAAACCAUUGUUUGUCAGAACCAGUGUCUUCAAUUGGCUCAUCUGCUCUAUAAAAGGGGGUAAUUUGUAGG
rnacentral:misc_RNA from 1 species